UGCCCUAAGACUCAGAAGGUAAAAGUUGAGAUUUAUCAACACGUUCACAAGACUAUUGAUAAUACAUAGCUUGUUGACUUUACAUACAGAGCGGCAGAAUAGGUGGGUUGAACACGAGAAACUUACAGAGUUAAGAAGCCAGGGGUAACACAGUCCUAGUGUUCGUAUUCUAUUGUUUACAACUCAAAGUAUUCAAGUUCGAUUACUUCUUACAGAUUACUUCCACCCCACCCCCCCA
rnacentral:lncRNA from 1 species